rnacentral:sRNA from 1 species
UAUUAUUCCCGUUUGCGUGAGGGAUUGCAGUGGAGCUCUUUUAUAAUUUGUUCUCGUUUUUGAACGAGAGCAAAUUAUAAAAAGCGGGAAUGGAAAGCCCGACCCGAA